AGCGAACGCAGGCGGCAGGCCUAACACAUGCAAGUCGAACGAGACCUUCGGGUCUAGUGGCGGACGGGUGAGUAACACGUGGGAACGUGCCUUUAGGUUCGGACUAACUCAGGGAAACUUGUGCUAAUACCGAAUGUGCCCUUCGGGGGAAAGAUUUAUCGCCUUUAGAGCGGCCCGCGUCUGAUUAGCUAGUUGGUGGGGUAAUGGCACACCAAGGCUACGAUCAGUAGCUGGUAUGCGAGGAUGAUCAGCCACAUUGGGACUGAAACACGGCCCAAACUCCUACGGGAGGCAGCAGUGGGGAAUCUUGCGCAAUGGGCGAAAGCCUGACGCAGCCAUGCCGCGUGUAUGAUGAAGGUCUUAGGAUUGUAAAAUACUUUCGCCGGUGAAGAUGAUGACUGUAGCCGGAGAAGAAGCCCCGGCUAACUCUGUGCCAGCCGCCGCAGUAAAAC
rnacentral:rRNA from 1 species